UACGUAGGGACCAAGCGUUGUCCGGCAUCAUUGGGCGUAAAGAGCUCGUAGGCGGUUUGGUAAGUCGGGUGUGAAAUCUCCACGCUCAACGAGGAGGGGACACUCGAUACUGCCAUGACUCGAGUCCGGUAGGGGAGUGGGGAAAUCCCGGUGUAGCGGUGAAACGCGCAGAGAUCGGGAGGAGCACCCGUAGCAAAGGCGGCACUCUGGGCCGGUACUGACGCUGAGGAGCGAAAGCGUGGGGAGCGAACAGG
rnacentral:rRNA from 1 species